rnacentral:rRNA from 1 species
GAUGAACGCUGACAGAAUGCUUAACACAUGCAAGUCAACUGUGGCGGACGGGUGAGUAACGCGUAAAGAACUUGCCUCACAGAUAGGGACAACAUUUGGAAACGAAUGCUAAUACCUGAUCCUGUGAGAGAGCUUUGCGUCCCAUUAGCUCGUUGGAGAGGUAACGGCUCACCAAGGCGAGGAUGGGUAGCCGGCCUGAGAGGGUGAUCGGCCACAAGGGGACUGGGACACGGCCAGUACUCAUACGGGAGGCAGCAGUGGGGAAUAUAUGAAAAUGGACCAAAGUAUGAUCAAGCAAUUCGGGGUGCACGAUGAAGUUUUCGGAAUGUAAAGUGCUUGCAGUUUGGAAGCAGUACCAACAGAAGAAGCGACGGCUAAAUACGUGCCAGCAGCCGCGGUAAUUC